rnacentral:rRNA from 1 species
AGAGUUUGAUCCUGGCUCAGGAUGAACGCUGGCGGCGUGCUUAACACAUGCAAGUCGAACGAACCUUCGGGUUAGUGGCGGACGGGUGAGUAACGCGUGAGAAUCUGCCCUCAGGAGGGGGAUAACGGUUGGAAACGACCGCUAAUACCCCAUAUGCCUACUGGUGAAAUGAAUUUCGCCUGAGGAUGAGCUCGCGUCUGAUUAGCUAGUUGGUAAGGUAAUGGCUUACCAAGGCUUCGAUCAGUAGCUGGUCUGAGAGGAUGAUCAGCCACACUGGGACUGAGACACGGCCCAGACUCCUACGGGAGGCAGCAGUGGGGAAUUUUCCGCAAUGGGCGAAAGCCUGACGGAGCAACGCCGCGUGAGGGACGAAGGCCUCUGGGCUGUAAACCUCUUUUCUCAAGGAAGAAGAUAUGACGGUACUUGAGGAAUAAGCCACGGCUAAUUCCGUGCCAGCAGCCGCGGUAAUACGGGAGUGGCAAGCGUUAUCCGGAAUUAUUGGGCGUAAAGCGUCCGCAGGCGGCUUUUCAAGUCUGCUGUUAAAGCGUGGAGCUUAACUCCAUCAUGGCAGUGGAAACUGAAAGGCUUGAGUAUGGUAGGGGCAGAGGGAAUUCCCGGGGUAGCGGUGAAAUGCGUAGAUAUCGGGAAGAACACCAGUGGCGAAGGCGCUCUGCUGGGCCAUUACUGACGCUCAUGGACAAA